GGCGGAUCGAGAGGAGGAGAGGAGCCAACCAACAGAAACACAAAGCAGCAGCUUCAUCUUGCGACACAGCCGCCGGCGAUCUGUCCACCAUGGGCGGGCUCAUCAACCCAGGCCACGCCGAGCGCUACAUAUUAUCGGCACGGGCGAAAAUAAAUAAGCCACAAGAGAACAUAGUAAAGGAGAAAGUCUCGGAGAUAUGAUCUAAAUUCCCUCUCUUUGUGAAGGUGAUGACGGCAGGCGAUGUACGGCAGCCAAAGCUGAAUUUCUGCCAAGAAUAUGCUUCGAAGUGUCUCCCGCAGCCGCUCCAAGAAACAGAUGUCCUACUUGGGCUGGAGGGUAGCACGAUGCGGUGGCGGCGUACAAAGCUGACGGUCGAACCAUAUGGGCGUGUGACGAUGAUUUCGUUACAAGUCUGGAAGAAAUUUCUCUCAGAGGCCAGCAUGAAGGCGGGAGACAUCUGCCUGUUCGAACUGGUAGACAAGAGCAGCGAGGAACUCACGAUGGAGGUCCAUCUGAUCCGCAAGUCGGAAAUGUAGCUCUAUUUGCGGAAGGUUUUGCCUUUUUUUGUGGUAUUGUAGAUUUUUUUUAAUAUAAGUCUAGAUCACUACUUUA